UACGAAGGGGGCUAGCGUUGCUCGGAAUUACUGGGCGUAAAGCGCACGUAGGCGGCUUUCUAAGUCGGAGGUGAAAUCCUGGAGCUCAACUCCAGAACUGCCUUCGAUACUGGAGAGCUUGAGUCCGGGAGAGGUGAGUGGAACUGCGAGUGUAGAGGUGAAAUUCGUAGAUAUUCGCAAGAACACCAGUAGCGAAGGCGGCUCACUGGCCCGGUACUGACGCUGAGGUGCGAAAGCGUGGGGAGCAAACAGG
rnacentral:rRNA from 1 species